AACAAAGAACAAAGAAGAACAAAGGGAGAAAAGAAAUACAAAAACCUAGGUGAAGAAUUUCAAGAGAAAAGUGUGGGAAAUUCAAGGAAACAAAUGACAAAAGGUAAAAUUUCUUGAUUUUGACUUGUGAUAUACCUUUCCCAUGCAUUUCUCCUCAUUUUUCAUGGUUAAAUUACAUAUUUUCAUGAUGAAUUCAUGGCUGGUCGGAAUGGGUAUGGAGAGAGAAUGAUGUUGGAUUGGUUUGAUUCUAAGUUAUGUUAGUGUUUUUUGUUAGUUUACCAUGUCUAGAAACAAAACAACAAGAAAAGAAUUUAUUUUUCCCACCACCCAUUAAUGGCCGAACCUACCUUGUGUUGAGUGAGGAUGAAUUUGAUUUUUAUUUUAAGAGAAUUGGUUAGAAAAUGAUGAAUUAUGGUGUGGAAAAGUAGUAGGAAAAAUCACGGUGUUAAUGCACCAUUAUUGACUGAAAAUUCUAAGAAGAAAAGUGAAGAUAGCUUUGCCAAACUUUAGGUUAUUUGACUUAAGUUUGGUGAAUUAAGAUAUUGGAAAAGAAAUGGAGCAAUUUGGAGCUAAAUUGGACGCAUUGGCCAAUUAAUAUGGUGAUAAGUCGAAUUAGGCCAAUACCGGGGAUUAGAUGGUUACUAGUGCAUUUUGCAUUCCAUAUCAUGCAUUAGUAGUCUAAAUUAGUUUAAAUUCAAUUUAGUACUAAUGAAGUAAGUUUCUCGAUUUUGUAUUGUGUUAAGGUGGUGAGUCCUCCUAUAAAGGCAAGGAAAUUGCACCCAAGGACCAGUAAUCUGAGUACUUCGAAAAUCCCCAUUCUAGACAUUGUGAGUAACCUUAUCAUCAUUUUAAUUAUCAAAAGUAUGUUUUAACUUGGUUUUGGUGAAAUUUUAUGAAAAUGAAUUAAAUGGAAAAUUUUAGGUUUUAUAAACAAAAAUGUGUUUAAAUGAAAAGAUUUUAUAAAUUGUUUUGAAACGAAAUAACGAUUUUAAAAAUAGAGUAAUUGGAGACCAUCGGUAUGUUGUAAAUUUAUGAUUGGAAAUUGAUGGCUUAUGUUAUAUUGUUAUUGUAUUGGUAUGAUUGGCUGGGCUGUGUUUUAUGAAUUGUAUGAAUUGUUUUAUUUUACCUUUGCAGGCUAGGUAGUAAAAUAUUAUCCCUGUCAUGCUGUCAAAAUUUUAUUGUAUGGUGGGUUUAGCUUGCUGCAGUAGGCAAAUUCUGUGGACCAGCCUAUUAGAGGGGCAUGGAAU
rnacentral:lncRNA from 1 species